rnacentral:rRNA from 1 species
AGUGAACGCUGGCGGUAGGCCUAACACAUGCAAGUCGAACGGCAGCACAGUAAGAGCUUGCUCUUACGGGUGGCGAGUGGCGGACGGGUGAGGAAUACAUCGGAAUCUACUUUUUCGUGGGGGAUAACGUAGGGAAACUUACGCUAAUACCGCAUACGACCUACGGGUGAAAGCAGGGGAUCUUCGGACCUUGCGCGAUUGAAUGAGCCGAUGUCGGAUUAGCUAGUUGGCGGGGUAAAGGCCCACCAAGGCGACGAUCCGUAGCUGGUCUGAGAGGAUGAUCAGCCACACUGGAACUGAGACACGGUCCAGACUCCUACGGGAGGCAGCAGUGGGGAAUAUUGGACAAUGGGCGGAAGCCUGAUCCAGCCAUACCGCGUGGGUGAAGAAGGCCUUCGGGUUGUAAAGCCCUUUUGUUGUGAAAGAAAAGCAGCAGGUUAAUACCCCGCUGUUCUGACGGUACCCAAAGAAUAAGCACCGGCUAACUUCGUG